AGCAGCCGCGGUAAUUCCAGCUCCAAUAGCGUAUAUUAAAGUUGUUGCAGUUAAAAAGCUCGUAGUUGAAUUUCGGGGUUAGUAGGUUGGUCAUGCCUCUGGUAUGUACUGGUCUCACUGAUUCCUCCUUCCUGAUGAGCCGUAAUGCCAUUAAUUUGGUGUUGCGGGGAAUUUGGACUGUUACUUUGAAAAAAUUUAGAGUGUUUAAAGCAAGCUAACGCUUGAAUACAUUAGCAUGGAAUAAUGAAAUAGGACGUUUGAUUCUAUUUUGUUGGUUUCUAGGAUCACCGUAAUGAUUAAUAGGGAUAGUUGGGGGCAUUAGUAUUCAAUUGUCAGAGGUGAAAUUCUUGGAUUUAUUGAAGACUAACUACUGCGAAAGCAUUUGCCAAGGAUGUUUUCAUUAAUCAAGAACGAAAGUUAGGGGAUCGAAGACGAUCAGAUACCGUCGUAGUCUUAACCAUAAACUAUGCCGACUAGGGAUCGGAUGAUGUUAAUUUUUUUAAUGACUCAUUCGGCGCCU
rnacentral:rRNA from 1 species